GGGGGGGGGGGGGGGGGGGGGGGGCGGGGGGGGGGCGGGGGGGGGAGGGGGGGUGGCGCCUGGAGUCAGCGGGGGACGGGGGAGGAAUGCCUAGGAAUGUGCCUGGUAGUGGGGGAUAACGUCCGGAAACGGGCGCUAAUACCGCAUACGUCCUGAGGGAGACAGUGGGGGAUCUUCGGACCUCACGCUAUCAGAUGAGCCUAGGUCGGAUUAGCUAGUUGGUGGGGUAAAGGCCUACCAAGGCGACGAUCCGUAACUGGUCUGAGAGGAUGAUCAGUCACACUGGAACUGAGACACGGUCCAGACUCCUACGGGAGGCAGCAGUGGGGAAUAUUGGACAAUGGGCGAAAGCCUGAUCCAGCCAUGCCGCGUGUGUGAAGAAGGUCUUCGGAUUGUAAAGCACUUUAAGUUGGGAGGAAGGGCAGUAAGUUAAUACCUUGCUGUUUUGACGUUACCAACAGAAUAAGCACCGGCUAACUUCGUG
rnacentral:rRNA from 1 species